GUUCUGAGAGCUCUCCACAAAGGGAAAGGAAGCCUCUUUGCAAACAAAGAAUAAUGAUUUGCUUCAGCUCUAGAGAAAUGUAUGAAGGACGGGAGGAAAAGAGUUGAGAUUCAGAGUAAGAGUGUGAUUCCGUUACCUGAAGAGGCGACAGAACAGGAGGAAACUGGACAAUCUGCGGUGGGUGAACGCCACAGUUUGCAGAAGCUGGUGUUCUUGCCCAUGAAGUCAUGUUUCCAUAUAUCCCCACUUGAGGGACAUGAGAUGGGUGGGUUUCCACAAGGAUCAGCUGGAGGAGUUUCACAUCCAUCUGGCAAAGCUGCAUGAAGAUAAGCCUCGUGUUUUCCAGGUGAUGCUGAGGAUAUCAACAGAAUUAAGAGGAACAUCCAAGACUUUACUCUAAAUUCGUGUUCACGUCGAAGAUGAAUUAUCACCAGGGGAAUAGAGUCAUUCAUGGUAGAGAAUAUUCAACAAAAUCUCAGAAAAGAGGAAAAAACAGAUUCAGUAAAGAUCUACCCUUAGUUUAGCUUUCCCCUUCUUACUUGUGCCUUUCAUAGCCUCAGUAUACAGAAAUCUAUGGCUCAGAAGAAAACGUAAACAGUCCAGAUAAGAAGAUAAGAGUGUUGGGGUUUCCAGUUUCGUCUCAGACAUGUAAAUAGCCUGGAAGUCAUUAUUCCUGUUUUUACAGCAAUAAAACACAGAAUAAGCUGAAAAUAAGUGACUUCCUUGACCCAUUAUAAAAUUGAGGUUGCAUGGUGAAACUCCACCCCCAAAUCUAGAAGACAGGUAAAUACAGAAAACUAUAGUCAAGAUCGGUUUACCCAGAGUGGAAACCCC
rnacentral:lncRNA from 1 species